rnacentral:rRNA from 1 species
AUAAUUUUCCUUGAGAGUUCUUAUCGACAGGAGUAGUUGUGACCUCGAUGUUGAAUUAAAGUUUCCUUUUAGUGAAGAAGCUUAAAGGGUGA